rnacentral:tRNA from 1 species
AGUGAUUUAGGUUAAUUAUUCAGACCAAGGGCCUUCAAAGCCCUCAGUGGAAGUGAAAAUCUUUCAAUCGCUG